rnacentral:rRNA from 1 species
AACGUAGGACGCAAGCGUUAUCCGGAGUUACUGGGCGUAAAGCGCGUUCAGGCGGUUCGGCAAGUCGGGCAUGAAAUCUCUCGGCUCAACCGGGAGAGGUUGUCCGAUACUGUUGGACUUGAGGGCAGUAGAGGGUGGUGGAAUUCCGGGUGUAGUGGUGAAAUGCGCAGAUAUCAGGAGGAACACCGAUGGCGAAGGCAGGUCUCUGGGCCACUACUGACGCUGAGAAGCGAAAGCAUGGGGAGCGAACAGG